CCUACGGGUGGCAGCAGUGAGGAAUAUUGGUCAAUGGACGAGAGUCUGAACCAGCCAAGUAGCGUGAAGGAUGACUGCCCUAUGGGUUGUAAACUUCUUUUAUAUGGGAAUAAAAUAGGGUAUGCAUACCCCCUUGCAUGUACCAUAUGAAUAAGGAUCGGCUAACUCCGUGCCAGCAGCCGCGGUAAUACGGAGGAUCCGAGCGUUAUCCGGAUUUAUUGGGUUUAAAGGGAGCGUAGGUGGUUUGUUAAGUCAGUUGUGAAAGUUUGCGGCUCAACCGUAAAAUUGCAGUUGAAACUGGCAUUCUUGAGUACAGUAGAGGUAGGCGGAAUUCGUGGUGUAGCGGUGAAAUGCUUAGAUAUCACGAAGAACUCCGAUUGCGAAGGCAGCUUACUGGACUGCAACUGACGCUGAUGCUCGAAAGUGUGGGUAUCAAACAGGAUUAGAUACCCGGGUAGUC
rnacentral:rRNA from 1 species